rnacentral:rRNA from 1 species
UACGAAGGGGGCUAGCGUUGCUCGGAAUGACUGGGCGUAAAGGGCGCGUAGGCGGUUUGUACAGUCAGAUGUGAAAUUCCUGGGCUUAACCUGGGGGCUGCAUUUGAUACGUGCAGACUUGAGUGAGGAAGAGGGUUGUGGAAUUCCCAGUGUAGAGGUGAAAUUCGUAGAUAUUGGGAAGAACACCGGUGGCGAAGGCGGCGACCUGGUCCUUGACUGACGCUGAGGCGCGAAAGCGUGGGGAGCAAACAGG